UCCUGGAUUCUGCUGCACUGAGAGUAAACUUACAAAUAACAGAAUCAGCAGGCUACAGUGCACAGCAAAAGAAAGUAGCUGCAUUGUCUUCCCAGGGUGAGGGCAGCAUUCUCAGUUCUAAGGCUCAAGCUGAAUAACUGCUUUCAGGGGACCAAGCAGAGCGUCCUUUCCUCCAGUUUCUACUGCAUCUAGACAAUGUCACUCUUGUUGGAACACAGUGUUCAAAAGAUACCAAGAAAUCGCGCUCUGAUCCUCCUACUUGGAUUUUAAUGGAUUCCAUAACCUGAGACAAGGUUAAAUAUAUGAAGAUGUUCUUUUAAUCAAUGAGGGGCUAAAAGAGAGUCCAUAAUGUAUCUGAGAAGAGAAAUGCUGUGAUGGCCAAUGGAAAAGUCUGCUUCCUUAUAAAGGGAGUCAUGAGAUGCCGCGUCCAUUCCCUCAGCUGUGGAGGUGGAACGUGGACAGGAGUCCCGUAGGAAGGGACACGAGCGUGACAAAUGAGCGCUUUUCUGUGACAAAGGUGAAACAGCACAGUUAUAAGUUGUAAAACAUUGUGUGCAUUAUCUUAACUGUAAGAAAUACUUUUUCUCAAACAUCUCAGCAAAAUAUGCAAACACUGCUAUCAGGAAAGGAAAACGAGGAAGAGAAAAUCCAUCUUCCAUGAAAUCGCAUUUGUUGUAACAGAAUGCGACUCAAGUAACAUGAACGCUGAUCAACACAAACUCAAGGUAUUGAAAUAAAUUCUUACUGAUUACUGCAUAAUAUAUUUGUCCCAUUAAAAAUUAAGCCCUGAAAAAAGCUCACUAAAUAAAAGUUUAGUUUUUGCUUCUGAAAAUAAAAGAGAUGAAAUAAA